UACAGAGGGUGCAAGCGUUAAUCGGAAUUACUGGGCGUAAAGCGUGCGCAGACGGUUGCGUAAGUCAGAUGUGAAAGCCCCGGGCUCAACCUGGGAAUUGCAUUUGAGACUGCGUAGCUAGGGUGCGGAAGAGGGAAGCGGAAUUUCCGGUGUAGCGGUGAAAUGCGUAGAUAUCGGAAGGAACACCAGUGGCGAAAGCGGCUUCCUGGUCCAGCACCGACGUCAGGCACGAAAGCGUGGGGAGCAAACAGGAUAGAAACCCCAGU
rnacentral:rRNA from 1 species